CAGCAGGAGCAGUUCAGGUCCCUGCCCCACCUAACUGUGUAAAUAAGGCAGGUAUCUGUCCAGAAGGCUCCACUAAAAUCACUUGAAUCAAUCCACCUCUGUUCCAGCUCAAUCAUUUUCAAAUCCCGCUCCAAUGAAAGGCUGCUUUGUGCUACAGUCUCUCUGGGUAGUAAAAUGUUGCUUUCUUUAUGUCCCAACACUUACAGAAUUGACCCAGAGGAGUCUCAAUGAGUGCAUUUAUUCCCAAAUACCCAGAGAGACCAACAGGGGUGGCUCGAGCAGGAUCUCCAUCCCCGAGUGUACACAAUGCUGUGUUGUAACCCGUCGCUCUAGUGUAUGUGUGUGGGUUUAACUGUGCCUCAGUCACAACAGGACACUGUGAAAGGAGUUUUUCCAACUCUGAUGUGCUCUUCGGGCAGAAAACUCCAAAGCAAGUCGAGUAAGAGAAUUCACUGAAAUCAGCUUCAUGAGAGGAAAAUAAAAGUGACUGAUGCAGUAGCCAAACAAAUUUACAGUAUAAACAUCAAGCUUUACGCAACAUGGACUAAAGGAUGAGGGCUGUCUGAAACCAUUCCUCAAAUCCAGACUAAUAUGUAGGCCAGGGGUUAAAAUCAUUUCCCCUGAAAUAAGAAGACUCGAGGCCAAUUUAUAACCAAUCAGAUCACAAUCAGCCACAACAUUCAAACCACGGCAGGUGAUGUGAAUAACAAUGAUCACACUGAUCCUCAUACUGACCCACCCCCACCUACCUGCCCCAAAGUCAACGGCUGUCCCUAACUGCAAAACGGCUCAGGGAAGGAAGGAGGAAGAAGACAAACAUCCCGAAGGGAAAGAUCCGGGCAGGUGAUCUGCAUACUAUGACUGACUGCUAGUCUGAAACCUGCCGAGGGAGAUGCUGACCGAGUUUGGAGCUUCAGCGUGGAGCCAACUACAAUUUCUCUUGUUUCCUUUGAAUAGUUUGGAGGCGGGGACUGUUUUGAGAAACACAAAUGACUGCCAAUAGCGACAGGGACUUGCCUCCUCCGCGGUGCCUUCAAGUGCACCUCGGAUCAUUUCUGUUUCGCAUUGAAACAACAGCAAACAGUGUUUACCAAGAUACAAAUAAAUAAAUGUCAUUAGUUUCUUAGCUGAUUGAAAGAAAAUCGACCAGUAGCUAAAAAAUGUAAUCCAAAAAUUCCAGACAAGAAGACAGAGUUUCCGCUUAUUUACUUUUUAUAUGGUUGCAGACUAAAUAUUUUCACUAUAGGGUCAACUGGUAGGACAAAACGAUACUUCUGAUUUUUAACAGACCAAAAAUAGAAUAUCAGACAAAAUUAUCAGCUGAAAUACCUCAGCUUCUUAUACUAAUUGGUAGCAGUUUGAAUGUUAGAUCACUUCAGCUUCCUUCUGUCUUUAGAAAUCUUAAUGACUCUUUUGCCAAAAGAGAUUAAGCCUGCUGCAAAUGAGUGCUGGAUCUGAACCCAGGCAGCAGGACCAUUUGGAUGGAUUUAAAUCCUCUGAUAAGGUGAAGCAGGAGGGUUUUCAUUUAUGUUUAUUACCAGUGCAUGCAUUAUGAAUCAAUCCAGUUCAAUAAGUUGACUGAUGAUUUUCUAUCCUUUUGUUAAAAGUUUAAAACGAUUUUGCUUAUUUUUCUUUAAUAACAUUGAAAAGCUGCUUUGAGUAUUUGCUCAUUCAUCAAUUGGGAAUAUUUCAAAUGAGGGAGAAGCUGCAAAAAAGCAAAUGUGCCUUGCAGAAAUAAUCUUGUGUAAAUUUCAUUAGAAACCUGGGGUCUUACAUAAUUUUCUGUGUGGCCGACUGUUUGCAGUACAGUUGUGUAAACCAUUGUGACCACCAGCCAUUGACAGAGUUUCCACAGGUGUGUCAUCAUGUUGUUAGUGCACACAUUGCUGUGAAGGCAGCAUUUGUUGCUUUCAAGCCAACCUUUAGUUGCAAAUUUAGU